GGGUUGUGAGGUUAAGCGACUAAGCGUACACGGUGGAUGCCCUGGCAGUCAGAGGCGAUGAAGGACGUGCUAAUCUGCGAUAAGCGUCGGUAAGGUGAUAUGAACCGUUAUAACCGGCGAUUUCCGAAUGGGGAAACCCAGUGUGUUUCGACACACUAUCAUUAACUGAAUCCAUAGGUUAAUGAGGCGAACCGGGGGAACUGAAACAUCUAAGUACCCCGAGGAAAAGAAAUCAACCGAGAUUCCCCCAGUAGCGGCGAGCGAACGGGGAGGAGCCCAGAGCCUGAAUCAGUGUGUGUGUUAGUGGAAGCGUCUGGAAAGGCGCGCGAUACAGGGUGACAGC
rnacentral:rRNA from 3 species